CUCUGGACGAACAUCAGCGUCAAAAUAUAUCUGAUGAAACAUUUAUAACAAGUUUUGUAUGUUUGAUUGCCACAGCUUCCAAGCUUCCAAGAUGCUCGCCAGCUUUUAUUAAAAAAAACUUGCCAAUGAACAAGACAGUUAUUGGUGAUUGUAUGUGAGGAAGAUGUUCUAUAUCUACUGGUACCGAUUUGACUAUUAACGAUAUUGACAAUACGUGAGGAGAAUGUAACCAAUCAGUAUUAUAAAUACACUAUCGAGUGUUUUACUAUAUCUGAACAUUACAUAACUUAAUAACAGCAAGCGGUACCGGUACGAGCAUUCACGAAUAUUUUAAUGUCUCCAAUUUAAAACAUAAAAGGUACUACACCAAAAUGUUAUUGCCACUUGAGGCGUAUUUUACUGCAGGAAAUUGCAUUUAAUUAUUAUCGUGCAAAUGUGUAUAAAUAGGUGAGUUUUGUUACUCUUGUCAUAGCCUGAACACCUCCUGUCAGCUGUCUUUAGAUACCCUGAACGGACUUCGAAAUCUCACAAGAGACAAAAUGUUUGUCAAAGCAGUCGUCGUUUGCAUGGUGCUGUGCACCGUCAUGAAUGAGGUUCCAGCUGAGAGCUCCGACCCUCCCUGUAUAUGCCCUUUAAUCUACGAUCCAGUCUGUUCCGGAGGCAUAUCUUACGCCAGCGGCUGUAAUGCUGCAUGCAAUGGGGUAUCCUCAUAUACCAUUGGACAAUGCACCCAGAAAUGAGUAGAAGAUUGACGGUGGCUGAAUUGGACCCAUAGUCUCCUUUUGAUGUCCCUAUCUACUUUGUGAUUCCGACAUGACUCCAUAAACUGUGUGCAGACUUUUUACUAUCGCUUUCCGCUUAAUAAUUCUGUGUUAAUUCGUAAUAAAAAUAUACUUCAGUGAU